CGAUUAAAAUUGAAGAAGAUUUAGAUAAUCUUGAACAACUUGAAGCUGAAUUUAUGAAUACGGGAAGAGAGCCUUGCAUUGUCGACAUAUAGUGAUUUUCCAUUUGUUGUACAAGCUCAGAUUUUUAACUUGUCUCACAGUCCUACUGAGAAUCUGAAAUUGAGAGCUACAUUUGGCCUGGUUGCUGGUUUGUGUUGACUGUUGCGGCUUUCCAAAAGUUGGAACUUGGAACUCUUUUG